AUUGAACGCUAGCGGCAGGCUUAAUACAUGCAAGUCGUGGGGCAGCAUGGUGUGUAGCAAUACACACUGAUGGCGACCGGCAAACGGGUGCGGAACACGUACGCAACUUACCCUUAAGUGGGGGAUAGCCCGGGGAAACCCGGAUUAAUACCUCGUAACACUGUGAAGCGGCAUCACUUUAUAGUUAUAGCUCCGGCGCUUAAGGAUGGGCGUGCGUCCCAUUAGGUAGUUGGUUGAGGUAACGGCUCACCAAGCCUGCGAUGGGUAACUGGUGUGAGAGCACGACCAGUCAAACGGGCACUGAGACACGGGCCCGACUCCUACGGGAGGCAGCAGUAAGGAAUAUUGGUCAAUGGACGCAAGUCUGAACCAGCCAUGCCGCGUGGAGGAUGAAGGCCCUCUGGGUUGUAAACUUCUUUUAUGGGGGACGAAACCCCGGAUUUCUAUCCGGCCUGACGGUACCUCAGGAAUAAGCACCGGCUAACUCCGCGCCAGCAGCCGCCGUAAUAC
rnacentral:rRNA from 1 species